rnacentral:tRNA from 1 species
GGCUUGUGGCUCAGUGGUAGAACGCUCAUCUCUCAUGUGUGAAACACUGGGUUCAAUCCUCAGUGCCA